AAACCGCUGAGCCACCCGGGCUGCCCUCAAGGCAUUUUCUUAAUCAUUGUACUGAUAGAAUAAUUUGAAUAAUCCAAAUAAGGAUUAUAAACACAGAAAAAUGGGUUGACUUAUUUCUUACACCAAAUCAUCCAUAGAGAUGAGGAGAGUGAUACCUCCAGAUCUGAAUCCAUCCAGUCCUUUUCUCUCAGCUUCGUAUUAUCCUGUCCACGUGCCCCAAAGCUAUUGCAAUGGUGCUUCCUAGAAGUGUAUCUGGAGAUUACCAUGGCAGUGAGGUAAUGUCCCAAUGCACAAAGUCAUCUUGUCACCUUAGACCAGGUCCAGUGUCCUUCCUUGACAUUCUUUGAAAACAUCUAUCAUAGCAGUUGGCUCUCCAUGUUACAAAAUUGUUUUCAUGUUUUAGUUCUCAUUAGAGUGACAUCUUUGAUGUCAGGGACUAAAUCUUCUUACUCCAAGUACCUAAUAUAAUUAGAGACGGAUGCAUUUUUAUCAAAGAAUAAAUAAACGUGCUGUAAUUAGUGCCAGUUGAACCCAGAAUUCAGGUCUUCUGAAUGCACCAUUAGGCAG